rnacentral:rRNA from 1 species
GUAGGUGGCAAGCGUUGUCCGGAAUUAUUGGGCGUAAAGCGCGCGCAGGCGGUUCUUUAAGUCUGAUGUGAAAGCCCACGGGCUCAACCGUGAGGGUCAUUGGAAACUGGAGAACUUGAGUACAGAAGAGGAAAGCGGAAUUCCACGUGUAGCGGUGAAAUGCGUAAAGAUGUGGAGGAACACCAGUGGCGAAGGCGGCUUUCUGGUCUGUAACUGACGCUGAGGCGCGAAGGCGUGGGGAGCAAACAGGAUUAGAUACCCUGGUAGUCCACGCCGUAAACGAUGAGUGCUAAGUGUUAGGGGGUUUCCGCCCCUUAGUGCUGCAGCUAACGCAUUAAGCACUCCGCCUGGGGAGUACGGCCGCAAAGGCUG